rnacentral:rRNA from 1 species
GGGUUGUGAGGUUAAGCGACUAAGCGUACACGGUGGAUGCCCUGGCAGUCAGAGGCGAUGAAGGACGUGCUAAUCUGCGAUAAGCGUCGGUAAGGUGAUAUGAACCGUUAUAACCGGCGAUUUCCGAAUGGGGAAACCCAGUGUGAUUCGUCACACUAUCAUUAACUGAAUCCAUAGGUUAAUGAGGCGAACCGGGGGAACUGAAACAUCUAAGUACCCCGAGGAAAAGAAAUCAACCGAGAUUCCCCCAGUAGCGGCGAGCGAACGGGGAGGAGCCCAGAGCCUGAAU